rnacentral:lncRNA from 1 species
AUGCGGUUAUUGAUAGACAGAAGAAUCAUGGUAUCCACUUUGGUACCGCAGUAGGUAAACUUGAAGGUGAAAGAGACAUAACUUUGGGCUUUGUUGAUUUACUGCGUGAUGAUUUUGUUGAACAAGAUCGAAGUCGCGGUAUUUAUCCAAAAUGGGUAAGGGCCCAACUCUUUUAUCUUGUAGAAGUAUGAGGCACGAAGUCCCCAAAUUCGGUAUAGUCACCAACAUCGAUCAAAAAUAGCUAAGCUGGUGGGAGGAUCUUCAUUCCAGCGAUCAGAAUCUUGUCCGGAAAUAUCUGGGAAACCUACCUUCUCUCCCGGAAAAUCGACCCAACAAUAAAAUCAUAGAAGCUACCACUUUGUUCUUGGAUUGUGAGAGAUCCGUGUUCCGCUUCGAAGACAUUUAAAUGACACCCUUACUAUAAGAGAUAGGAGGAUUGGGCGGCAUAGCACGGGAGACUCCAGGUUUGUUACAUGCGGUUAUUGAUAGACAGAAGAAUCAUGGUAUCCACUUUGGUACCGCAGUAGGUAAACUUGAAGGUGAAAGAGACAUAACUUUGGGCUUUGUUGAUUUACUGCGUGAUGAUUUUGUUGAACGAGAUCGAAGUCGCGGUAUUUAUUUCACUCAAGAUUGGGUCUCUUUACCAGGUGUUCUACCCGUGGCUUCAGGAGGUAUUCACGUUUGGCAUAUACCUGCUCUGACCGAGAUCUUUGGGGAUGAUUCCGUACUACAGUUCGGUGGAGGAACUUUAGGAUUCGUAUUCCAAGUCCGUUAGUAAGAGUUUACGGUGGGUGGGUAAGCA